rnacentral:rRNA from 1 species
UACGGAAGGGUGCAAACGUUGCUCGAAAUCAUUGGGACGUAAGCGCACGUAGGCGGCUUCGCAAGUCGGAAUGUGAAAUCCCUAGACUCAACCAAGGACGUGACAUCCGAAACUGCAGAGCUUGAGUACAGAAGAGGAUCGCGGAAUUCCCGGUGUAGAGGUGAAAUUCGUAGAUAUCGGGAGGAACACCAGUCGGCGAAGGCGGCGAUCUGGGCUGAUACUGACGCUGAGGUGCGAAAGCGUGGGGAGCAAACAGG